GAAUCAACUAGAUUCUAGGAUUCAUAAUCCUGAGGUCGAGAGUUCAAGUCUCUCCAUCACCACCA
rnacentral:tRNA from 1 species